AUGAGAAAAUUUAGCUGCUCCCGUUUCUCUCUCCUCGUGCUUCUCUCUCCUCCAUUUUCGCUCGCUCUCCUUCGUGAUUCUCUCUCCUCACUGCUACGGUGCUACCUCUCCUAACCCUGCUGCAACCACCGUGCCGGCACCAUCUCCACGCUUAAAAAUCGAUGUAUUCGAAAAUUAUGGACGGUAAAUUAGCCUUUUCAUAUUUAUAUGAGUUUAGGGUUUCUGUUGAGGCGAUUUUUGUAUAAGUUUUUUUCUUAAUUCUUGACUUACAGUUUUCCUUGGUAGAGAAAUAUUUGUUGAACGAUGACAAAAUCCAGUUACAUUCGACGGAAUAUGGUUUUCUAACUUUGGUUUGGCGCUAGAUCUUGUUCGUCCAUAUCAAUGGAUUUAUCAUCUUCUACAGUGUAGGUGGGCUAGCCCAAGUUAAGUCUGCAAUGUUGACAACAACAGAUGUAACUGACCACUAUGGGAAGCCAAUCAUGGAUGGAAAUACUCUGUCAGACCAUUUUGCAAUCGGUUCUGGACAUAGCAACCUGCUAAAGCGUUUGUACCUGGAUUAGUAUAUGAUAUCAGACCGGCGGACUACACCACACAUCUGUGCAGUCUUUGGAUACACAAGGUCUGAAACAUGAUACCGAUUUACUGUCAAAGCCGUAUACUCUUUAAGCUUGACUUAUCUGCCUCUAGAUUGCUACAAUGAUCCAUAUGGUCGUACAAUAUCCAAGCUUGUAGAAUAACCACCUUCUGAUGUCUUUACUGUAAAGUAACCACGCCCUUUCAUGUCAUCGUAGAAGGGCAUGUAAGAUUGGCAGUCAUGAUCUCAGGUCUACCUUGCUGCUGUUUUUUUGUCAACUUGGACCAGUGUUGACUUCUGGCCUUGUUGGUUCUUAUGCCGUUGAUGUUGGUCUGUUGGUGCUGUAAGUUUUCUGGUCAAGUGAUGCAUAUUAGCUUAAGUUAUCGAAUUAUUUUGAUUUACUUCUUCUUUUUGGUUUUUUCUUCGUUGAUUCUAUUUAAAAAACUAGCCUACUAGCUCAAUAGGUAGAGCAUUAUGAAAAUGCACAAAAGAUGUGGGUUUGAAUCCCACGUAGGUUAAUCUUUACUUUGUGUAUUGUUUUAUUCACUUUUGGGUUAAUGUUUUUUACUUCUUA